AAGCUCCCCCUCGAAUGACUAGGA
rnacentral:siRNA from 1 species